GCCCGGGUGGUGGAAUUGGUAGACACGCCAGAUUCAGGUUCUGGUGGGGGCAACUCCAUGCUGGUUCAAGUCCAGUCUCGGGCA
rnacentral:tRNA from 1 species